UCGUUGUAGCCUUACGAUGGAAAGUUUAGUGGCGAACGGGGGCUUAACACGUGGGCAACCUGCCAGGAAGUGGGGGAUAGCUCGCCGAAAGGCGAAUUAAUACCGCAUGUGAUUAGAGAGGACAUCCUUUCAAAAUUAAAGUCGGGGCAACCUGACGCUUCUUGUGGGGCCCGCGGCCUAUCAGCUAGUUGGUGAGGUAACGGCCCACCAAGGCUUUGACGGGUAGCUGGUCUGAGAGGACGACCAGCCACACUGGGACUGAAACACGGCCCAGACACCUACGGGUGGCAGCAGUCGAGAAUUUUUGACAAUGGGGGAAACCCUGAUCGAGCGACGCCGCGUGGAGGAUGAAGGUCUUCGGAUUGUAAACUCCUGUCAUUGGGGAACAAUGCACAGAUAUUAACUGUAUUUGUGUUGAUAGUACCAGAAGAGGAAGAGACGGCUAACUCUGUGCCAGCAGCCGCGGUAAUACAGAGGUCUCAAGCGUUGUUCGGAUUCAUUGGCCGUCAUUUUCGACCAGGUGGCGCCGUAAGUGGGGUGUGAAAUUUCGGAGCUUAACUCCGAAACUGCAUUCCAUACUGCGGUGCUUGAGGACUGGAGAGGAGACUGGAAUUCACGGUGUAGCA
rnacentral:rRNA from 1 species